CUAAGCUUUGGGAAAGUCCCAAAGCCACUGGCAGGUUCAUGAACUGGAAUCUGUGGCUAACUGCUGCCAGCACCACACACAAACCUCUUGUCCUUAAACAGGGUGGCUCUUUUCCCUCUCAAUGCACUCACUUCUGAACAGAGUGCCUCUCAUCUGCCCUUGCCCAAAUUCAACGUCAUUUCCUCUGCAAAGCCUUCUGCCUCUCCCCUACUUGUGAAGUAUUUUAAAUCCUGGCAGCAUAUCUUCCUAAAAGUUCCUUCUCUCUGUCCCAUUCAGGCAAAUAGCUCAUCACAGUUCUUUCCUCCAUUCAUAACUGAGUGUCCACUGCAAUGGGAUUCACCCUAAUUUAAAACACAUUUGUGAAGAUAUGGUGUCACCGAGGGAAGUUACACCUGCAUAGGUCUACAGAGAGCCAGCAAGAGAUGAGUAGCUUCCUCCUCUACAGAUUCCUACCAUGAUGAACUAUCAUAGACCCAAAGACAACAGGCAUAGUCCAAAGAGAUCUGGAUUUUUCUGGACAUUCUACAGACACUACACUGAUCUAUGUCAUCAUGCUAAUUGGACAGGAGGACAAGAUGUGUCUGUUGUACUGGAAGCUUCUGUAAAGCACAUGAACUACAGAGAGUGGAGAGGGAUAAACCCUACAAACACCCAGGGACUAACCACUUCAGUUAAAUAUCCCCAUCUAAAGUAAAAGAAAAAUUGCUGCUCUUUGUAUUUUCCUCCAUCACAAAGAAGAAAGUACAGUGCCUGGUAGGUUUUUCUGGGUUCUGGAGGCAACUAGGAAUACACUGUGGUUAAUACACAGGUGACACUGAAGGCUGCCAUCGAUGUAUGGGAUCCGGAGCUAGAACAGACACCGCAGCAAGUCAAGAUGCAAUGCAUUCAGCCUCGCUACUUGAGCCACAGACUCUAGGUUUGGGACAGGUCAUGUGUAAAAUGGAGCUUAUGGCAUUCUCCAUUAGAAAUAUCACAACUCAAACUUCUGGGAUUCUGAAGUGAGGUUAUCCCACCUCAGCAGAGAAUUAUAUGCUCCUUAAGAAAUAUCUCUUGACAUGUUACUGAGACCUGGAAGAGAUGGAAUGCUUGACCACAGGACACCACAUGACCCUGUAUCUGAAACUUCCCAUUAUAAGCUGGGUUCUGUCAGGCCCAGCAGGUCACAAAGUUGGACAAGUCCAGCUAUAGUCCAUUGUCAGACAGAAAUGGAGUUGAGCCUAAGCAGCACCAGAUCAAAGGACACAAAUGAACUACAUGAGCAAGUAGUCCACAUCGCCAUAUCACUACCACAUUUGAACCAGUUCCCCUUCCCUCGUUUGAAGUUGGUGAGGAGCAGGAGGACUCAAGUUUGGCCUAUGGAUGGGUCAGCUUGACACUUGAGUUCAAGUUAAAAAGGGAUGGUUGGGGCUGGGAUUGUGGCUCAGAGGUAGAGUGCUCGCCUAGCACACAUGAGGCACUGGGUUUGAUCCUCAGCACCACAUAAAAUAUGUGUCUACCUAUAACUAAAAAAUAAAUAUUUUUAAAAAAGGGAUGGUAGCUGUAUUACAGCCACAUUAAGGGGAGAUUCUGCAAAAUAGUAGAGAAGGAAAACCUUCCCAGUGGGCAGAGCUAUCAGCUGUGCAUUAGGCUAUUCACUUUGUGUGUAAGAAGUGGCCUGGAGUAAGGAUAUAUAGAAAUCCUUGGUAGUUGCUAAAAGCCUGCUGUCUGGUUGGGGGUCUGGAUGGGAAGGACUUGAAAACCAGAGACAAGGAAAUCUGAGGACAAGGGAUAUAGAAGAAUAUAUUAGAGUACACAAAGCUUAUGAUGGACCAGUGGUCACCAGAAAGCGACAUCAAGGAAGAGGGACUAACAAAAUGUAGACAAAAAUGCCUCAACCAGUUGUUAGCCAGCCUUCUUCAUUGGCCAGCUCAGAACUGUCAGGAUGGGCACAUGAACAGAGGGGCUACUAUGGGCCCAGCAGCAGUACCCCACUUCCCAGGACUGAUCUAGCUACUGCUAUUUUUGAAAGUCCAAUUUCUCAGAAACAGAGACCAUCUACAAGAGUCAUCCAAAAUGGCCCUAGGCCUCAAGAAAAACAACUAGCCACUUCUGAAAGAAAGGAAAACUUUUUUGUGACCUCAGAUUAAGCAAGGAUUUAUUUGAUAUGAUACCAAAAGCAUAAUCCAUAAAAAAAUAAUUGGACUUUAUAAAAAUUAAAGCAUUCACUUUGGAUAAAUUAAUUGUAUAAUCAAGAUCAUGCUUAUAGCAUCACAUUUGAGAGAAUGAUUUUUACUUGAUCUGGUGUGAUAAACCCACUAUGAAGGAUUAAGAAUUGCAUUUUCUGUGCAGAGCCAAUGCCCACAAACCUACUUAGGCCCUGGUUGUUGUAUGACACCACUUAGCUUAGAUUUUCUGAUAAAACUACAGACUUAUAUGCAUUCAUUACUACUUCAUGCUGCAUCUAUAUAGAUGAAUCAAUGUUUCAGAACAAAUUACAGCCUUUUUUUUUUUUUUUUUGUACUAUGGAUUGAACUCAGGGGCACUUGGCGACUAAGCCACAUCCCCAGCCCAAUUUUGUAUUUUAUUUAGAGACAGGGUCUCACUGAGUUUCUUAGCACCUCACUGUUGCUGAGGCUGGCUUUGAAUUUGUAAUCCUCCUGCCUCAGCCUCCUGAGCUGCUGGGAUUACAGGGGUGCACCACUGUGCCUGGCAAAUUACAGCCAUUCUUAGUGAUCAAGAAUAAUGUUUUCAGAUUAUGUAUGAUUAAAAGGGGGACUUUUAGGGAAAAAAAGUCUAAAACAGAAAUAGGCAAGACAAUAAAUUCAUAUCUUUAAUUACUAUACUAGAAUAAUUUUUAAAAACAACUAAAGUCUAAAAGACUCACUCAAGAAUUCUCUCUUUCCAGCUGGGGUUGUGGCUCAGUAGUGAAGCUCUUGCCUAGCAUGUGUGAGGCACUGGGUUUGAUUCUCACCACUGCAUCAAAAUAAAUAAAAUAAAGGCCUAUUGACAAUGAAAAAAAUUUUUAAAAAAAGAAUUAUAUUUUUUUUACUUACUACUUUAUAUAGAUUUAGUAUAUUUUAAUAAUCUAUAAAAAAGCUGAUAACAAGAGAAAUUAUUCUUAUCCAAUAACAAUGCAAAUGAAUUCUGUCUGAUCAUACAUGUAUGAAGACAUGAAUUGGGUGUCAACCUAUUUAUA